rnacentral:rRNA from 1 species
GAUGAACGCUGGCGGCGUGCCUAAUACAUGCAAGUCGAGCGAACGGACGAGAAGCUUGCUUCUCUGAUGUUAGCGGCGGACGGGUGAGUAACACGUGGAUAACCUACCUAUAAGACUGGGAUAACUUCGGGAGACCGUAGCUAAUACCGGAUAAUAUUUUGAACCGCAUGGUUCAAAAGUGAAAGACGGUCUUGCUGUCACUUAUAGAUGGAUCCGCGCUGCAUUAGCUAGUUGGUAAGGUAACGGCUUACCAAGGCAACGAUGCAUAGCCGACCCGAGAGGGUGAUCGGCCACACUGGAACUGAGACACGGUCCAGACUCCUACGGGAGGCAGCAGUAGGGAAUCUUCCGCAAUGGGCGAAAGCCUGACGGAGCAACGCCGCGUGAGUGAUGAAGGUCUUCGGAUCGUAAAACUCUGUUAUUAGGGAAGAACAUAUGUGUAAGUAACUGUGCACAUCUUGACGGUACCUAAUCAGAAAGCCACGGCUAACUACGUG